rnacentral:rRNA from 1 species
GACGAACGCUGGCGGCGUGCUUAGCACAUGCAAGUCGAACGGAAAGGCCCUGCUUUUGUGGGGUGCUCGAGUGGCGAACGGGUGAGUAACACGUGAGUAACCUGCCCUUGACUUUGGGAUAACUUCAGGAAACUGGGGCUAAUACCGGAUAGGAGCUCCUGCUGCAUGGUGGGGGUUGGAAAGUUUCGGCGGUUGGGGAUGGACUCGCGGCUUAUCAGCUUGUUGGUGGGGUAGUGGCUUACCAAGGCUUUGACGGGUAGCCGGCCUGAGAGGGUGACCGGCCACAUUGGGACUGAGAUACGGCCCAUACUCCUACGGGAGGCAGCAGUGGGGAAUAUUGCACAAUGGGCGGAAGCCUGAUGCAGCAACGCCGCGUGCGGGAUGACGGCCUUCGGGUUGUAAACCGCUUUCGCCUGUGACGAAGCGUGAGUGACGGUAAUGGGUAAAGAAGCACCGGCUAACUACGUG